rnacentral:rRNA from 1 species
CUACUAGGGUAUCUAAUCCUGUUUGCUCCCCUAGCUUUCGUGCCUCAGCGUCAGGACCUGUCCAGGGACUCGCCUUCGCCACUGGUGUUCCUCUCGAUAUCUACGCAUUUCACUGCUACACCGAGAAUUCCAGUCCCCCCUCCAGACCUCAAGCCGAAUAGUAUCCAAUGCAGUUUCGGAGUUGAGCUCCGAGAUUUCACAUCAGACUUACCCGACCGCCUACGCACCCUUUACGCCCAGUGAAUCCGAACAACGCUUGGGACCUCUGUAUUACCGCGGCUGCUGGCAC